rnacentral:lncRNA from 12 species
CUGAGUUCCUCAGUCUGUGGCUGGUUCAACCCCUGCUCUGCAGUGUCUGCCAUGCAUCCACACUGCUCCAAAGCUUGUGCUGGUCACCUGGAGGGAGGGAGGGAGGGAGGAGGAGUGCUUUGAAGUGUAGUUGUUUUUCUGGUGGUUUUUUUUGCAGGUGAAAAUGGGGAAGGUGAUUUGAUUUCCUAUGAUCCACUCUCCUGUGCACUGUGCUACUCGAGAGCUUGGAGACUGAAUUCACAUGAUACUGCUGCCCAGAGCUUUUUCUUUUCCUCUGGCAUGCACCAAGCUGACACAUGAGCCAAAGGUACCAGUCAAGAGCUGAUCUUUGUAGAGAUAUUUGUAACAGGUGUUAAGAUCUUUCUCCUAGCACAAAGGAUGCCCUGCCAGCUCUGAGAAAUUGAGUGUAGACUUGGGAUAUUCAAUAUAUCAGACAGAAA